rnacentral:rRNA from 1 species
GGGCCCGCACAAGCGGUGGAGCAUGUGGUUUAAUUCGACGCAACGCGCAGAACCUUACCAGGGUUUGACAUCCUGCGACCGCUCCUUAAUAGGAGUUUUCCCGCAAGGGACGCAGAGACAGGUGCUGCA